rnacentral:rRNA from 1 species
AUUGAACGCUGGCGGAAUGCUUUACACAUGCAAGUCGAACGGCAGCACGGGUGCUUGCACCUGGUGGCGAGUGGCGAACGGGUGAGUAAUGCACCGGAACGUAUCCAAUAAUGGGGGAUAACGCACCGAAAGGUGUGCUAAUACCGCAUACGCCCUGGGGGGAAAGCGGGGGAUCGUAAGACCUCGCGUUAAUGGAGCGGCCGAUGCCGGAUUAGCUAGUUGGUGAGGUAAAGGCUCACCAAGGCGACGAUCCGUAGCUGGUCUGAGAGGACGACCAGCCACACUGGAACUGAGACACGGUCCAGACUCCUACGGGAGGCAGCAGUGGGGAAUUUUGGACAAUGGGCGCAAGCCUGAUCCAGCCAUUCCGCGUGAGUGAAGAAGGCC